rnacentral:rRNA from 1 species
UAGGGAAUCUUCCACAAUGGACGCAAGUCUGAUGGAGCAACGCCGCGUGAGUGAAGAAGGUCUUCGGAUCGUAAAACUCUGUUGUUAGAGAAGAACACGAGUGAGAGUAACUGUUCAUUCGAUGACGGUAUCUAACCAGCAAGUCACGGCUAACUACGUGCCAC